AUGGAUGCUAUCACUGUGUUUUUUAUACAAUUCCGUAUAAUCUUGGUAUCAGAGCGAAGGUUUUGGUUUGUUUUACCAAUCCUUUGGUCUUUAUUUUGAUUAUCAACAAUUCAAAAAAUUAAAAAAAUAUCCAAAAAUAGAAAGUUCUCUGUUCAUCCGAUAUUGUUAUCACUGUUUUUUGUGUGUAUAGUGCUAAAAUUCAAAUUCCUUGUUCUCUCUCUAAAGAUUUUGGUUCUGAAAUUCUAAUUUGUUCAUUUUCUAAGUUUGAACUACUGAAUUUAGGCUGAAAUUCGAAGUUACGAUUGAUUUCGAGGUCAUAAUUUGAUAUCCGGCCUUGCCGAGUUCAACGAAGAAGCUGGGUUGUUUUCAUUCUGAAAUCAGGGUUAAAAAAUGAUCGAUUGGGUGUUUCUUAAAUUCACUGGCAAGUCAAUUAUGAUAGCGAAAUCUGAAGAUUUAGAUUGUUAUGGGGCUGAUUUGUUAGGGUUUGGUCAGAAAACUUUCUAACGGAAUCUGCGAAGAUCACGACAGGCUGGGUUCUUCUGAUAACAAGGGUUAGCUCCGCAGCAGGUCUACAAGCAAGGUAAGUAGGUCCAUUACCAGCCGGCUCCGGACCGAAAAGACCUAGUCUUGUCUAGAAAUUAAUCGUUGGGGAUUGUUUUUGUGUUGAAUGGAGCUCGUAUAUCAAAUUUGAACUCGUUGUGUGAAGAUUUGAGUGAGAUUGAACUGAGAAUUUUUUGCGGAGCUUGAAUCAGUCGAAGAACACUUGUUUCCAUUGAAGAUCUUCCCGAACUGAUUCGAGUCGAUUCGAGCAGCUGGUAAAUCGAAGAGGACGCCUGUAGAGCUGAUUCGAGUUGAUUUUAGGUUGAAAUUUUUUUGGAGUCGAUUCUCUCAAGACGACGAAGAACAGCUGCCACUGAUUUGCAACUGAAAAUUGCAGCUGUGUUCUCCAUUUUCUAGGACUCGUUUGCAACUGAAUUAUCACCACGAACUUCCAAUUCAUUCGUCACAACGAUUCAGGAAUUUGAGUUGAUUAUCUCUGCUUGAGCCGAAAUUUGUCUUCGUAUCUACUGAUUGGGAUGAAUGUGAGAAUGGUAAAUCGCUUUAGAGUGUCCUGUUGCUAUAGUCGAAGUUUGAAGUGAAUAUCUUCUGAAGUUCUGCUGAAAUUUUGCUCUAGUUGCUCAAAAACCUCGACUACAUUUCUGAGUUGAGACUGAAUUGUUUGAGUUUUAACUGGUUGUUAGCUGCUGCAAGUUUGAAAUCGAAUUUGAGAAGUUUUGUGGAGUUAAAGUGGAUAAGUUGCUUUGUGUUGUUGAUAAUUCAAGUAUUAAACAAAGAAGUUUGGGAGCAAGUUUCUGGAAAGUGAGGUUGUAUUCUUACUGCUGAAGUUUGGUAGGGUGAGAGAGGUUGUUUUAUGACUGCAGUUUGCUGUCCAGUUAAGUUGCUGAAAAUUCUGUACUUUUAUCUUGGUUCUGCACUGUGGAGUUUUCCAGUUAUUGUUGUUUGGAUUUCUGAAAAUUUUGAUAGUACACUGCUGAACAUUAAUAGCACUUAAAAUGGAAAUUUCACCAAUUUUGGACAAUCCAAUUUUCAGGUCUCUUUGUGAUCAGUCUUGAGACUGCUACACUAUUUGGACUGCUUAAUCUACAUAAAAUUCUGCACUGUCUACAGCUAGAAAAUCUAGUUUUGCACCCUAUUUGUGCAAGUUAAAGACAACACAGUUUUGCGCAAAUGUUUCUGCACAGCUUGGGCUGAAACCUCUGCACUGUUGCAACAUAUAUUUCUGCUCUGUUGAGCUGCUGAAAAUCUGCAGUAUUUGAAACAAUUUCUACACAUGUUUUGUUCCAGUUUUGUAACCGUAUUUGAGCUGCAUUUUAUCUCCAUAGUUAGGCAUAGCUACGGCAUAUACUACUGUCUUGUUUCUUUUAUUGUUUGAGCUGCUGAAACUGCAAUUUUCGACUAGCACUGGAGCUAAGAAACUUUGCAGUUUUAUGCCCUGUUUCUGCACUCUUUGCGCAGAAAAAUCUGCACAAUUUGGAUUGAAUCUUCUGCACUGCUGCAAACAGUCCAGCUUCUGCUGCAUUAUUUUGCACCAAAGGUACCAGUUAGCUGCUGAUUGUCAGUGAUGGUUCUUGAACAUUGUUGCUGAGUCAAUUUGAAAUUGUGAAACCUGCAACUUGCUUGAGAAUAACAAGUUGGUUGUUAGCUGAUUGAUUAAGGUUCUGUUUGUUGAAGCUAACGGUUCAGAGAGGUUCCAAGAAUCAAAUACAUUCUUAGUACAACUAAUUUUCUACACUGAUUGAACUUGAAAGAAGUUGCAGACCUGAUCAAGUUUCAGCAUUGUUCCGGCACUAUGGAGCUGUGUUUGGGAGCCAAUUGAACUGUAAAUUGAGUUGAAAAUCUACAGUAUUUUGAGUAGUAAACCUGCCCUGUUUCUACUAUGAUUGGUUCCAAAAUUGCUGACUUUGUUUCUGCUAUGGACUGAAAGGUUGAGCAUAGUAUCAAUUCCAGAAGAUUGCAACAAGUCCAGAAGUUUCUCCCUAGUUCUCUUUUCUUUCCGGUUAAUCUUUUCUUCUUGUUUGUUAAUUCUUAACUAGAUUAACUUGAUAUUAGUUCAUAUUAAGUUUAAUUCUAGUUUCUUGUGUGCUUUGUGUAUUUCAUGCCAAUUGUUUCGUGCUUUUAUCUUUUACUUUCGUUGUGAAUUACUUGGGUCAAGUCUGUUUGCUUUUAAUUGUCCGUCCUUGUGAAUACACAACUUCCACUCCACCCCGAAGACGGUUGGAACUUGUUGUGAAACCUUGGGACAUAAGUUUGCUAGCAAUUUUGACAUUCACUACUUGAGCGGAAAAAGGCAAGAGUGAAUAGGACUUUGAGCACACAAGAGCCAAUUGGUGCAAAGUGUGAUACACGAGGGUUGAGCGACAUCAAGUGAGUUGGUGAGGACUUUUACUACUAACUUGUUUGCUCGUUUUGUAGGUAUCAUGUAGUACGGACAAACUUCUAGUCCUACUUGUUAUCCAAGGAAUGAGACUCCGAUGCAUGAAGUUGUUUCUAUGCUUUAUGACAUAAGCGAGAAGGUUACCAACUUAAGUGAGAAGGUUACCAAUAUUACCAUAUGGAAAUACCAAAUGGAUGCAAGGUUGAAUUCCAUGAUAGAGGAAUCUCACUUGAGGCAACAAGGAAAGGAGCGUAGUAUGACGCGUACUAAUUCCUCUACUACACCCUAUCCUUCACAAGUGCGACAAAUGCUUCAAAGGAAAAAUUUGCAACAAAACCAACCCAACCAAAUACCACAAAACUUACCAAAGCGACCACAUUCACCAAAGGGACCUAGGGACCUUCUUUUCCUCCACCAAACUACCGUCCACCUACCAACUACCAACACCCAACACAAACCACCAUUGAGACUUCAAGCACACAUACCCAUAAUUCCACCACCCCAAUGACCCAACCUAGACCACCAAUGGAUCUACCUCCCAAACGUAUGCCUCAAGAACCACCAAGGAGGGACAAUCUCCCUCCUCCACCACCCAUACCACCUCAAGAGCCUCGAAUGAUUAAUAACCCACUUUUUCAAUAUGAUCAUGAGACCACCUUGAAUGAGUUGGACAACAUCCAACAAGUUUUCCAUGAUAAAUAUAGGGGUAAUAAAGUGAACCAAAGGGGAAGAGGCCAAAUGAUUUUGAGAACAUCCUUGAAAAAUGCAAAGAGAAAAAGUAAGGAUGAGAGACAAAAGAUAGAGAGAAGUAAGGGAGAGAAAAGUGACAACUCUAAAAUGGAAAAAGGAAAGAAAGUGUGGAGUGAAGUAAGUGAGUUGUCACAAGAAAAGAAUGAAGAGCUUGAAAAGAAAAUGAGAAAAAAGAAAGAGGGAAAACAAAAAAGAGUGAGGAUUUUCCUUAUUCUAAUGCUAAUAACCUUUCUUCUUUCUCUAGUUGUUUUGUAUCUUGUGAAGGAAUUUUAGGAGAUGAGCCAUCAAGUGAAGUUCAAUCUACUUUAAUGAACUUGGAAGAAGAUAAAGCUACCUUUUCAAGAGCUUUUGAAAUUUAAUGAAGAAGUUCAAGGUAAAGAGAAUUUCACUUUAGAAGAGCUUCAAGGUAAAAUAGCUUAUCCUUCUACUCAUGAUACUUUAAUUGAUUGUGGCGACACUUUGAGUUUGAAAGAUAGCUAUGACAUUGAUGAGUUUGAUACUUCUUUAUCUUGUAAUGAGAAAAAUAGUUAUGGCUUGCAACUGGAUAGGAGUUCUUGUGCAUCAUUAGAUGAUUCUGGUUCUUUGUUUAAUGGCUCCUUAGCUAGUGAUGUUGUGAUGUUGAAUCUUAUGAUACCCCACCUUUAUGGGAUGAUACAUGUGAUGGUUCUUUUGACUCUACUUUAACUUUGAUGGAAGAUAGUUUUGACCUUUAUGAAGUAAUGAGUCAAGAAGAAUGUGUUGAUUAUUAUUCUUUAGGUUCUAUUUUCAUUCCUUUGGCAAAAAGAUUCAAUUUUUGUGGUGAAAUGAGCAAACGUGAGUGUGGAGAUGCAUUGUUGGAGAGUGAACCAUUUAGUUAUAAUGACAUAAAUAUAAAAGAAGGAAACUUCCAUUUGUAUUCCAAUGAGUUGACUUCUCUUGUAUUUGAUCUUGAUUACUCUUAUGCAAAUUUAUGUGAUGAUUUUUUUGAGUGUGAAAAGGAACAUAAAGUUUUUGAUGCUAGAACUAGUAUUAAUUGCUUUUCUUAUCUUAUUCCUAAUUUUGAAAGAACAUUCUCUUUUGCUAAUGCUUCUAUGAGAAAAGGUAAGAAUGUUUGUUUUGGUGUUUUUAGUAACCAUUUUGAGCAAAAAGAACCUAUGUUUUGUGAAGGGUUCAACAAGAGAAAGUUGCUAAGGGUAAGAAAGGCCUUGAACUAACACUUUGGCAUACUUUUUGUCAAGAGCUUUUUUUUGCCCAAAAGCAAGAAUGGUAUGUACGUUUGGCUUAUGCUUAUCUUGUGUUUAUCUAAGUCCAGACUUUUAACUUUGAGUAUUGUGAUAUUCUUUAUAUGAUGAUUCAUGAUGAGCUUGGCAUAUCUCUUAAGUUGACAUGUGAAGUUGUUGGAAAGUGUGUAGAUAUUUGGGGAUUAAAAUUUGUGUUUGACCCCGGAAUUGCUUCUUAUCUUGGUGAAGUGUCUUUGUUUGGGUUGGAGAGUAUGAUUUUUAUGCUUCUUAUGACACUUGGUUAUACUAUAAAAGUGUGCCCUUUGUUGAGGAUCUUACAAGGUUGUGGUUUUGUUGGAAGCAUGAAACUUUAGACUCUCUUGAUUCUUUCAUGAGUAUUAUUUUUCUUAUAAUCAGGUUUGUGUUGGAGUUGUGUUCUUUAUAGAUUAUGACACUUGGCUAUAUCAUAAGAGUGUUACUUUUGAGUGCCAAAUUGCGAUCUUUGAUCUUUUAGCUUGGACAUACAAUGCUUUGAUUCUUGUGAUUGGCUUGGUACUUAUGUUUGCCUCUUUCUUGGUUUUGCAAGGUCCAAAUUCGAGGAUGAAUUUCUUCAAGUGGGGGAGGAUGAUACAUGCCGGAUGAGCAUGCCUAACUAUUUCCAAGUCAACAUCAUAGCAUUGGAGUGCUUUAAAGGAGUCAAGAUCAAAAAGGCUAUACUUGUAAUAAUUGAGUAAGCUCCUUAGAAUUAACUUAGCCCUUAAGGCUUUUAUUGUGGGUUAUUUGUAGCUAAAUACCUACUCCAGUAUAAAUAGCCCUUAAGGCUUUUAUUUUAGGUAGACUUGAUGAAUUAUAAACUUGAAGACAUGCAAGUCUCACCUUUUAUCCUUAUCUUUUAAUUAAUGCAUUUUUGUUUACGCC